UAUGUUGUAAAUUCUAGGGUCUUCUCUCUUAGGAUCUGUGCAGAUCUCUGGCUGAUUGCUUUAUGCCUGGUUCUGGAGCCUUUGCCAGUGCAUUCUAAGAAGAACAAGGGAAGACCAGCAAGCCACAGCAGAAGAAACUCAGAAGGAAAUGUAACCUUCCACAGGCCCACACAUGUGUUAUCAGCCAUACCUUAGGACAGAAGGAAUGAGUUUGCAGAAAGGAUGCUCUUCAGAACUCAUGAAGACAUAAGGUGCUUCAAAAGAGGAGACUUUCGGAACAUGAGCAGGGAAAUUGUCACUUGAUAGAUGACAAGCAUUGUGAGAAACAACAGUUUGCCUUUCUUCAUUCCCUUCCUGGUUAUCUUUCCUGUCACAUGAAGAAGAAAUGAAACACCAGAGAGAAUCAGGUUAUCAUCAUCUACACCAGCCACUGUCACUGCCCUACAACCAUACUGAGAAUUUAGCCCUGGGGACAUCUUCCGAUAUAAUCUGGCAUAGAAGAGUGGUUAUCACACCUUUAGCAUGGAUAGAAAUGCAAAACAAUAUUUGUAAUAGUCUGUGCUCACGCUGCUAUAAGGACAUACCCAAGACUAGGACCCUUGAGACACCUUUGCUGUGAAUAAUGGAGAAGCAAAAGGAGUUACUAAUGAAGACAAACUAAACCUGAGAACAGAGAGAGCCUAACUAUGUGCUCCAGAAGUGCCAUGUGUGUCUAAGGACAUCAGCAAGAUGAUGAAAAGGGAGUUUUCUACUGUCAUUCCCCAAAAGAAGCAUCAAUUUUACAACUACUCAUGGACAAGAGUAUCCUUGUAGGAAUCUAAGAGUUUAGCAAAGAAGUUUCAGCACAUUCUCAGAGCAAAAAGUUUGAGUAUGCAUACGGAGAAGAGAAGAGAAUAAGAACAGUUGCACUUUACCUGCACUUUUUCUCCCCCAAGGUGUCACAGCUCAGUGCCAAGAGAGACCUCCUUAGCCCGUUUCUCCCAUAAAGGAAAGUGAGAGUAUAGUAAAUAAACUGUCAGUUCCCUGGCUGUGUGAGAUGCUGCCCAAUAGCCCCACCUCUUUUUUGUCUUACCCAAAUUACUGAGGUGAUCGGCACAGGUGAGAGAUUGGGAGAGGGUAGAACCAGAGAAGAGAGGCCGUGGACUCUCAUAAUUGCUCCAGUGGAUUCCAUGAGGAAGUUUGUCCAUGAGGCACUCGAGAUGUCUCACCUGCGGACACCACCAAUGGCCCAAGGCCACUGCAAAUGCAUUUCAUGCUUCUCCCACCGCCUGGAUGAAAGAAGGAUAGAAAAAAGGCACACAAACUGGAGCAUCUCAAAGCACUGCUCUAAUAGGCUGUACAGGAAGCAUGGCACCAACAUCUGCCCAGCUCCUAGGGAGGCCUCGGGGAGCUUUUACUCAUGGUGGAGGGUGAAGCAGGAGCAAGUACAUCAUACGGCGAAAGCAAGAGCAAGUGAGUCGGGGGCAGGUUCCACACACUUUUAAAUGACCAGAUCUCAUGAGAACUCACUCACUAUCUUGGAGAAAGCACCAAGCCAUAAGGGAUCUGCCCCCAUGACCCAUACACUUCCCACCAGGUCCCACCUCCAACACUGGGGAUUACAUAUCAACAUGAGAUUUGGGUGGCACAAAUAUCCAAAUCAUAUCACAAUAAUUAAGGAAUUUUAAAUACUGAAAGAACAGAAUAAACUUGGAAAAUAAAUAUUGCUGAAGCAACUGGUUAAAAAUGAAAAAUUUAACCAAGCAUGUUAUUUGACAUCAUGUGCACAAUAUAGAAUUAUCUGAAUUUGAGAACAUUUCUAUAGAAUUCAAUUUAAAAAACCCAGACUUCCAGGUGUAAGAUUAAAUCUUUUCAUAAGAAAACAAAGAGAGAAUGAAAUUAACUUGAGGUGAUUUAAAUCAUGGCAGUG
rnacentral:lncRNA from 10 species